GACGAAGGGGGCUAGCGUUGUUCGGAAUUACUGGGCGUAAAGCGCGUGUAGGCGGUUGUCCAAGUUGGAUGUGAAAGCCUUGAGCUUAACUCAAGAAAUGCAUUCAGGACUGGAUGACUAGAGGACCGGAGAGGAUAGUGGAAUUCCCAGUGUAGUGGUGAAAUACGUAGAGAUUGGGAAGAACACCAGUGGCGAAGGCGGCUAUCUGGACGGUUUCUGACGCUAAGACGCGGAAGCGUGGGGGAGCAAACAGG
rnacentral:rRNA from 1 species